rnacentral:rRNA from 1 species
UACGUAGGGGCAAGCGUUGUCCGGAUUACUGGGCGUAAAGCGCGCGUAGGCGGAACGUUAAGUCCGGUCUGAAAGCCCCGGCUCAACCGGGAGGGUGGCUGGAAACUGGCGUUCUUGAGGGCGAGAGAGGAGGGUGGAAUUCCUGGUGUAGCGGUGAAAUGCGUAGAGAUCAGGAGGAACACCCGUGGCGAAGGCGGCCCUCUGGCUCGACCCUGACGCUGAGGCGCGAAAGCGUGGGAGCGAACGGG